rnacentral:rRNA from 1 species
UACGUAGGUGGCAAGCGUUGUCCGGAUUUACUGGGCGUAAAGAGCGCGCAGGCGGUCGUUCAAGUCGCGUGUGAAAGCCCCCCGGCUCAACUGGGGAGGGUCACGCGAUACUGAUCGACUGGAAGGCAGGAGAGGGUAGUGGAAUUCCCGGUGUAGUGGUGAAAUGCGUAGAUAUCGGGAGGAACACCAGUGGCGAAGGCGACUACCUGGCCUGUUCUUGACGCUGAGGCGCGAAAGCUAGGGGAGCAAACAGGG